AACGAACGCUGGCGGCGCGUCUUAAGCAUGCAAGUCGAACGGCAAGAGAGGAGCUUGCUUCUCUCCUAGAGUGGCGGACUGGUGAGGAACACGUGGGUAAUCUACCCUUAAGAUGGGGAUAGCUGCUAGAAAUAGCAGGUAAUACCGAAUACACUCGGCAUAUCACAAGAGGUGUUGAGGAAAGGAAGCUACGGCUUCGCUUGAGGAUGAGCUUGCGUCCCAUUAGCUAGUUGGUGAGGUAAAGGCCCACCAAGGCGACGAUGGGUAUCCGGCCUGAGGGGGUGAACGGACACAUUGGGACUGAGAUACGGCCCAAACUCCUACGGGAGGCAGCAGCUAAGAAUAUUCCGCAAUGGACGGAAGUCUGACGGAGCGACGCCGCGUGGAUGAAGAAGGCUGAAAAGUUGUAAAAUCCUUUUGUUGAUGAAGAAUAAGGGUGAGAGGGAAUGCUCAUCUGAUGACGGUAAUCGACGAAUAAGCCCCGGCUAAUUACGUG
rnacentral:rRNA from 1 species